rnacentral:rRNA from 1 species
GACGUAGGGCGCGAGCGUUGUCCGGAAUUAUUGGGCGUAAAGAGCUCGUAGGCGGCUUGUUGCGUCGGCUGUGAAAACCCGCGGCUCAACCGUGGGCUUGCAGCCGAUACGGGCAGGCUAGAGUUCGGUAGGGGAGACUGGAAUUCCUGGUGUAGCGGUGAAAUGCGUUGAUAUCAGGAGGAACACCCAUGGCGAAGGCAGCAAACUGGUCAUCAACUGACGCUGAGGCGCGAAAGCGUGGGUAGCAAACAGG